AUUAGGAUCAUCCAGGAGGAGAUUAUCCUUUCUAGAUAAUUUUAGUACGAUAGAGUACAUCCUAAGU
rnacentral:tRNA from 1 species